rnacentral:rRNA from 1 species
UACGAAGGCUCCAAGCGUUAUCCGGAUUUAUUGGGCGUAAAGGGUCUCUAGACGGUCGUGUUAGUCGGAUGUUAAAUCUCACCGCUCAACGGUGAGGCCGCAUUCGAAACGGCAUGACUCGAGGCAAGGAGAGGUGACUAGAAUUCUUGGUGUAGGGGUGAAAUCCGUUGAUAUCAAGGAGAAUACCAAAGGCGAAGGCAUGUCACUGGCCUUGUCCUGACGUUCAAGGACGAAAGCGUGGGGAGCAAAUGGG